UACGUAGGCAGCAAGCGUUGUUCGGAAUUACUGGGCGUAAAGGGCGCGUAGGCGGUUCGUUAAGUCCUGUGUGAAAUCCCCCGGCUCAACUGGGGAACUGCACAGGAAACUAGCGGGCUUGAGUUCGGGAGAGGGAAGCGGAAUUCCGGGUGUAGCGGUGAAAUGCGUAGAUAUCCGGAGGAACACCGGUGGCGAAGGCGGCUUCCUGGACCGACACUGACGCUGAGGCGCGAAAGCUAGGGGAGCAAACAGG
rnacentral:rRNA from 1 species